rnacentral:rRNA from 2 species
UUUAUAGCUUGCUAUGAUAAAAAUUAGUGGCAGACGGGUGAGUAUGCAUAGGAAUCUACCUAGUAGUAUGGGAUAGCCACUAGAAAUGGUGGGUAAUACUGUAUAAUCCCUGCGGGGGAAAGAUUUAUCGCUAUUAGAUGAGCCUAUGUUAGAUUAGCUAGUUGGUAGGGUAAAGGCCUACCAAGGCAGUGAUCUAUAGCUGGUCUGAGAGGAUGAUCAGCCACACUGGAACUGAGAUACGGUCCAGACUCCUACGGGAGGCAGCAGUGGGGAAUAUUGGACAAUGGGCGCAAGCCUGAUCCAGCUAUGCCGCGUGAGUGAGGAAGGCCUUAGGGUUGUAAAACUCUUUCAGUGGGGAAGAUAAUGACGGUACCCACAGAAGAAGUCCCGGCAAACUCCGUGCCAGCAGCCGCGGUAAUACGGAGGGGGCAAGCGUUGUUCGGAAUUAUUGGGCGUAAAGGGCAUGUAGGCGGUUCGGUAAGUUAAAGGUGAAAUGCCAGGGCUUAACCCUGGAGCUGC